rnacentral:rRNA from 1 species
AGUUUGAUCAUGGCUCAGAUUGAACGCUGGCGGCAGGCCUAACACAUGCAAGUCGAACGGUAACAGGAAGAAGCUUGCUUCUUUGCUGACGAGUGGCGGACGGGGGAGUAAUGUCUGGGAAACUGCCUGAUGGAGGGGGAUAACUACUGGAAACGGUAGCUAAUACCGCAUAACGUCGCAAGACCAAAGAGGGGGACCUUCGGGCCUCUUGCCAUCGGAUGUGCCCAGAUGGGAUUAGCUAGUAGGUGGGGUAACGGCUCACCUAGGCGACGAUCCCUAGCUGGUCUGAGAGGAUGACCAGCCACACUGGAACUGAGACACGGUCCAGACUCCUACGGGAGGCAGCAGUGGGGAAUAUUGCACAAUGGGCGCAAGCCUGAUGCAGCCAUGCCGCGUGUAUGAAGAAGGCCUUCGGGUUGUAAAGUACUUUCAGCGGGGAGGAAGGGAGUAAAGUUAAUACCUUUGCUCAUUGACGUUACCCGCAGAAGAAGCACCGGCUAACUCCGUGCCAGCAGCCGCGGUAAUACGGAGGGUGCAAGCGUUAAUCGGAAUUACUGGGCGUAAAGCGCACGCAGGCGGUUUGUUAAGUCAGAUGUGAAAUCCCCGGGCUCAACCUGGGAACUGCAUCUGAUACUGGCAAGCUUGAGUCUCGUAGAGGGGGGUAGAAUUCCAGGUGUAGCGGUGAAAUGCGUAGAGAUCUGGAGGAAUACCGGUGGCGAAGGCGGCCCCCUGGACGAAGACUGACGCUCAGGUGCGAAAGCGUGGGGAGCAAACAGGAUUAGAUACCCUGGUAGUCCACGCCGUAAACGAUGUCGACUUGGAGGUUGUGCCCUUGAGGCGUGGCUUCCGGAGCUAACGCGUUAAGUCGACCGCCUGGGGAGUACGGCCGCAAGGUUAAAACUCAAAUGAAUUGACGGGGGCCCGCACAAGCGGUGGAGCAUGUGGUUUAAUUCGAUGCAACGCGAAGAACCUUACCUGGUCUUGACAUCCACAGAACUUUCCAGAGAUGGAUUGGUGCCUUCGGGAACUGUGAGACAGGUGCUGCAUGGCUGUCGUCAGCUCGUGUUGUGAAAUGUUGGGUUAAGUCCCGCAACGAGCGCAACCCUUAUCCUUUGUUGCCAGCGGUCCGGCCGGGAACUCAAAGGAGACUGCCAGUGAUAAACUGGAGGAAGGUGGGGAUGACGUCAAGUCAUCAUGGCCCUUACGACCAGGGCUACACACGUGCUACAAUGGCGCAUACAAAGAGAAGCGACCUCGCGAGAGCAAGCGGACCUCAUAAAGUGCGUCGUAGUCCGGAUUGGAGUCUGCAACUCGACUCCAUGAAGUCGGAAUCGCUAGUAAUCGUGGAUCAGAAUGCCACGGUGAAUACGUUCCCGGGCCUUGUACACACCGCCCGUCACACCAUGGGAGUGGGUUGCAAAAGAAGUAGGUAGCUUAACCUUCGGGAGGGCGCUUACCACUUUGUGAUUCAUGACUGGGGUGAAGUCGUAACAAGGUAACCGUAGGGGAACCUGCGGUUGGAUCACCUCCUUACCUUAAA